AGGUAGCCUAGUGGUUAGAGUGUAGGGAUGGCAGGUAGCCUAGUGGUUAGAGUGUAGGGAUGGCAGGUAGCCUAGUGGUUAGAGUGUAGGGAUGGCAGGUAGCCUAGUGGUUAGAGUGUAGGGAUGGCAGGUAGCCUAGUGGUUAGAGUGUAGGGAUGGCAGGUAGCCUAGUGGUUAGAGUGUAGGGAUGGCAGGUAGCCUAGUGGUUAGAGUGUAGGGGCGGCAGGUAGCCUAGUGGUUAGAGUGUAGAGGCGGCAGGUAGCCUAGUGGUUAGAGCUUUGGGCUAGAACAGGUCCCUGAAGCUGAAUCUGCCGUUCAGCCCCUGAACAAAGCAGUUAACCCACUGUUCCCCGGUAGGCCUUCAUUGUAAAUAAGAAUGUGUUCUUAACUGCCUACAACAGCCUAGUUAAAUAAAGAUUAAAUAAAUACAUUGAAAUAGUGUCACAUCUGUCACACCCAAAAGGAGAAUUAUCUGGUGAAAUUUUGAUUGUUUUUCCACUUGUGCAUCAUCAUAAUUAUACAGUACCAGUCAAAGUUUGGACACAUGCAUCAUUCAAAGGUUUUUCUUUCUUUUUACUAUUUUCUACAUCAAAACUGUGAAAUAACACAUGGAAUCAUGUAGUAACCAAAAAAGUGUUAAACAAAAAAUAUAUAUAUAUAUUUGAGAUUCUUCAAAGUAGCCACCCUUUGCCUUGAUGACAGCUUUGCAUUCUCUCAACCAGCUUCAUGAGGUAGUCACUUGGAAUGCUUUUCCUACAGUCUUGAAGGAGUUCCCACAUAUGCUGAGCACUUGUUGGCUGCUUUUUCUUCACUCUGCUGUCCAACUCAUCCCAAACCAUCUCAAUUGGGUUGAGGUCGGGUGAUUGUGGAGGCCAGGUCAUCUGAUGCAGCACUCCAUCUCUCUCCUUCUUGGUCAAAUAGCCCGUACUCAGCCUGGAGGUGUGUUUUGAGUCGGUGUCCUGUUGAAAAACAAAUGAUAGUCUUUCUAAGCGUAAACUAGAUGGGAUGGCGUAUUGCUGCAUAAUACUGUGUAAGCCAUGCUGGUUAAGUGAGGACGGUCGUUUCUCUUUGAUUAAUUGAGCUGUUCUUGUAUUAAUAUGGACUUGGUCUUUUACCAAAUAGGGCUAUCUUCUGUAUACCACCCCUACCUCGUCACAACACAUCUGAUUGGCUCAAACGCAUUAAGAAGGAAAGAAAUUCCACAAAUUACCUUUUUACAAGGCACACCUGUUAAUUGGAGCUGGUUGAGAGAAUGCCAAGAGUGUGCAAAGCUGUCAUCAAGGCAAAGGGUGGCUACUUUGAAUAAUCUCAAAUAUAAAGUAUUGUUAUUAUUUAGUAUUUGUUUAAUACAUUUUUUGGUUACUACAUGAUUCCAUAUGUGAUAUUUCAUAGUUGUGAUGUCUUCACUAUUAUUCUACAAUGUGGAAAAUAUAUAUAUAUUUUUUUUUUCUUUAAUAUAAAGAAAUACCCUGGAAUGU